rnacentral:rRNA from 1 species
GGGUUGUGAGGUUAAGCGACUAAGCGUACACGGUGGAUGCCCUGGCAGUCAGAGGCGAUGAAGGACGUGCUAAUCUGCGAUAAGCGUCGGUAAGGUGAUAUGAACCGUUAUAACCGGCGAUUUCCGAAUGGGGAAACCCAGUGUGUUUCGACACACUAUCAUUAACUGAAUCCAUAGGUUAAUGAGGCGAACCGGGGGAACUGAAACAUCUAAGUACCCCGAGGAAAAGAAAUCAACCGAGAUUCCCCCAGUAGCGGCGAGCGAACGGGGAGCAGCCCAGAGCCUGAAUCAGUGUGUGUGUUAGUGGAAGCGUCUGGAAAGGCGCGCGAUACAGGGUGACAGCCCCGUACACAAAAAUGCACAUGCUGUGAGCUCGAUGAGUAGGGCGGGACACGUGGUAUCCUGUCUGAAUAUGGGGGGACCAUCCUCCAAGGCUAAAUACUCCUGACUGACCGAUAGUGAACCAGUACCGUGAGGGAAAGGCGAAAAGAACCCCGGCGAGGGGAGUGAAAAAGAACCUGAAACCGUGUACGUACAAGCAGUGGGAGCACGCUUAGGCGUGUGACUGCGUACCUUUUGUAUAAUGGGUCAGCGACUUAUAUUCUGUAGCAAGGUUAACCGAAUAGGGGAGCCGAAGGGAAACCGAGUCUUAACUGGGCGUUAAGUUGCAGGGUAUAGACCCGAAACCCGGUGAUCUAGCCAUGGGCAGGUUGAAGGUUGGGUAACACUAACUGGAGGACCGAACCGACUAAUGUUGAAAAAUUAGCGGAUGACUUGUGGCUGGGGGUGAAAGGCCAAUCAAACCGGGAGAUAGCUGGUUCUCCCCGAAAGCUAUUUAGGUAGCGCCUCGUGAAUUCAUCUCCGGGGGUAGAGCACUGUUUCGGCAAGGGGGUCAUCCCGACUUACCAACCCGAUGCAAACUGCGAAUACCGGAGAAUGUUAUCACGGGAGACACACGGCGGGUGCUAACGUCCGUCGUGAAGAGGGAAACAACCCAGACCGCCAGCUAAGGUCCCAAAGUCAUGGUUAAGUGGGAAACGAUGUGGGAAGGCCCAGACAGCCAGGAUGUUGGCUUAGAAGCAGCCAUCAUUUAAAGAAAGCGUAAUAGCUCACUGGUCGAGUCGGCCUGCGCGGAAGAUGUAACGGGGCUAAACCAUGCACCGAAGCUGCGGCAGCGACGCUGAUGCGUUGUUGGGUAGGGGAGCGUUCUGUAAGCCUGUGAAGGUGUGCUGUGAGGCAUGCUGGAGGUAUCAGAAGUGCGAAUGCUGACAUAAGUAACGAUAAAGCGGGUGAAAAGCCCGCUCGCCGGAAGACCAAGGGUUCCUGUCCAACGUUAAUCGGGGCAGGGUGAGUCGACCCCUAAGGCGAGGCCGAAAGGCGUAGUCGAUGGGAAACAGGUUAAUAUUCCUGUACUUGGUGUUACUGCGAAGGGGGGACGGAGAAGGCUAUGUUGGCCGGGCGACGGUUGUCCCGGUUUAAGCGUGUAGGCUGGUUUUCCAGGCAAAUCCGGAAAAUCAAGGCUGAGGCGUGAUGACGAGGCACUACGGUGCUGAAGCAACAAAUGCCCUGCUUCCAGGAAAAGCCUCUAAGCAUCAGGUAACAUCAAAUCGUACCCCAAACCGACACAGGUGGUCAGGUAGAGAAUACCAAGGCGCUUGAGAGAACUCGGGUGAAGGAACUAGGCAAAAUGGUGCCGUAACUUCGGGAGAAGGCACGCUGAUAUGUAGGUGAAGUCCCUCGCGGAUGGAGCUGAAAUCAGUCGAAGAUACCAGCUGGCUGCAACUGUUUAUUAAAAACACAGCACUGUGCAAACACGAAAGUGGACGUAUACGGUGUGACGCCUGCCCGGUGCCGGAAGGUUAAUUGAUGGGGUUAGCGCAAGCGAAGCUCUUGAUCGAAGCCCCGGUAAACGGCGGCCGUAACUAUAACGGUCCUAAGGUAGCGAAAUUCCUUGUCGGGUAAGUUCCGACCUGCACGAAUGGCGUAAUGAUGGCCAGGCUGUCUCCACCCGAGACUCAGUGAAAUUGAACUCGCUGUGAAGAUGCAGUGUACCCGCGGCAAGACGGAAAGACCCCGUGAACCUUUACUAUAGCUUGACACUGAACAUUGAGCCUUGAUGUGUAGGAUAGGUGGGAGGCUUUGAAGUGUGGACGCCAGUCUGCAUGGAGCCGACCUUGAAAUACCACCCUUUAAUGUUUGAUGUUCUAACGUUGACCCGUAAUCCGGGUUGCGGACAGUGUCUGGUGGGUAGUUUGACUGGGGCGGUCUCCUCCUAAAGAGUAACGGAGGAGCACGAAGGUUGGCUAAUCCUGGUCGGACAUCAGGAGGUUAGUGCAAUGGCAUAAGCCAGCUUGACUGCGAGCGUGACGGCGCGAGCAGGUGCGAAAGCAGGUCAUAGUGAUCCGGUGGUUCUGAAUGGAAGGGCCAUCGCUCAACGGAUAAAAGGUACUCCGGGGAUAACAGGCUGAUACCGCCCAAGAGUUCAUAUCGACGGCGGUGUUUGGCACCUCGAUGUCGGCUCAUCACAUCCUGGGGCUGAAGUAGGUCCCAAGGGUAUGGCUGUUCGCCAUUUAAAGUGGUACGCGAGCUGGGUUUAGAACGUCGUGAGACAGUUCGGUCCCUAUCUGCCGUGGGCGCUGGAGAACUGAGGGGGGCUGCUCCUAGUACGAGAGGACCGGAGUGGACGCAUCACUGGUGUUCGGGUUGUCAUGCCAAUGGCACUGCCCGGUAGCUAAAUGCGGAAGAGAUAAGUGCUGAAAGCAUCUAAGCACGAAACUUGCCCCGAGAUGAGUUCUCCCUGACCCUUUAAGGGUCCUGAAGGAACGUUGAAGACGACGACGUUGAUAGGCCGGGUGUGUAAGCGCAGCGAUGCGUUGAGCUAACCGGUACUAAUGAACCGUGAGGCUUAACCUUACAACGCCGAAGCUGUU